CUACGGGCGGCUGCAGUAGGGAAUAUUGGGCAAUGGGCGAAAGCCUGACCCAGCAACGCCGCGUGUGCGAAGAAGGCCUUCGGGUCGUAAAGCACUUUUCUGAGGGAUGAGAAAGGACAGUACCUCAGGAAUAAGCCUCGGCUAACUACGUGCCAGCAGGCGCGCGGUAAAACGUAGGAGGCAAGCGUUAUCCGGAUUUACUGGGCGUAAAGCGUGUGUAGGCGGUACAGCAAGUUGGAUGUGAAAGCUCCUGGCUUAACUAGGAGAGGUCGUCCAAAACUGUUGAACUAGAGGAUAUCAGAGGAAAAUGGAAUUCCCGGUGUAGUGGUGAAAUGCGUAGAUAUCGGGAGGAACACCAGUGGCGAAAGCGAUUUUCUGGGAUAUGCCUGACGCUCAGACACGAAAGCUAAGGUAGCGAACGGGAUUAGAUACCCUAGUAGUC
rnacentral:rRNA from 1 species